rnacentral:Y_RNA from 1 species
GAGUGGUCCAAGUGCAGUGGUGUUUGUAACAAACCCAUCACAACCAGUUACAAAUUCCUUUGUUCCUUUUCCACUCCCACUGUUUCACUCGACUAGCCUUAA